rnacentral:rRNA from 1 species
AGAGCGAACGCUGGCGGCAGGCCUAAUACAUGCAAGUCGAACGGAUCCUUCGGGAUUAGUGGCGGACGGGUGAGUAACACGUGGGAACGUGCCCUUUGGUUCGGAACAACUCAGGGAAACUUGAGCUAAUACCGAAUGUGCCCUUCGGGGGAAAGAUUUAUCGCCAUUGGAGCGGCCCGCGUCUGAUUAGCUAGUUGGUGGGGUAAAGGCCCACCAAGGCGACGAUCAGUAGCUGGUCUGAGAGGAUGAUCAGCCACACUGGGACUGAGACACGGCCCAGACUCCUACGGGAGGCAGCAGUAGGGAAUCUUGCGCAAUGGGCGAAAGCCUGACGCAGCCAUGCCGCGUGAAUGAUGAAGGUCUUAGGAUUGUAAAAUUCUUUCAGCGGGACGAUAAUGACGGUACCGCAGAAGAAGCCCCGGCUAACUUCGUGCCAGCAGCCGC